rnacentral:rRNA from 1 species
AAUCUUCCACAAUGGUCGAAAGCCUGAUGGAGCAACGCCGCGUGAUGGAAGAAGGUUUUCGGAUCGUAAAACUCUUUUGUCAGGGAAGAACAAGUACAGUAGUAACUGCCUGUACCUUGACGGUACCUUAUUAGAAAGCCACGGCUAACUACGUUCCAGCAGCCGCGGUAAUACGUAUGUGGCAAGCGUUGUCCGAAAUUAUUGGGCGUAAAGCGAGAGAAGGGAGUCAGUUAAGUCUGAUGUGAAAGACCGCGGCUCAACCGUGGAGGGUCAUUGGAGACUGGGGGACUUGAGUGCAGAAGAGGAAAGUGGAAUUCCAAGUGUAGCGGUGAAAUGCGUAGAGAUUUGGAGGAACACCAGUGGCGAAGGCGACUUUCUGGUCUGUAACUGACGCUGAGGCGCGAAAGCGUGGGGAGCAAACA